rnacentral:rRNA from 1 species
UUGCUUAAAGAUUUAUAAUUUUAAGUAAAACCUGCUCCAUGAUAAUAAAUAGCCGCAGAAUUUUAACUGUGCUAAGGUAGCAUAAUCAUUAGUCUUUUAAUUAAAGACUAGAAUGAAAGGUUUAACAUUCCAUUUACUUUUUUAUUUUAAAAAAUAAAAAUUAUACUAAGUAUAAAAAUAUACUUAUGCCCUAAUAAGACGACAAGACCCUAUCGAACUUAACUUUAGUUCAGCUGGGGCAGCUAAUUAAAUCUAAUUUUAACUUAUAUACUACCAAUAAUCGACCCAAUAAAAUUGAAUAUCUGAUCAAGUUACCGUAGGGAUAACAGCGUAAUAAACUUUUAAAGUUCUUAUUUAAAAGUAAGCUUACGACCUCGAUGUUGAAUUAACUAACUAGCUGACGCAAGCGUUACCAAAGUGGGUCUGUUCGACCCUUAAUUUUUUACA